CCAAUCCGAUCAACCUCUCAGAYUGCAAUGAGAGUUGUGCUAAGGUAGCACAGUAAAUAGCCCUUUGAUUGAGGGAGUGGAAUGAAUGGUUUGACAUAAGGAUUCUGUCUUUAGGAUAAUGUAAUAGAAAUUCCUUUUUAAGUGAAAAAGCUUAAAUAUUUGUAAAAGACGAGAAGACCCUAUCGAACUUAAUUAUUAUUAAAUAAUAUAAACCAUGUUUUAAUUAUUAUUUUAUAUUUAAGUAUAAUUGUGUAGUUUUAUGUGUGUAGUGUAAAAGAUAUUUAUUAAAAAUUUUUAUUGGGGCAAUUAAAAUAUGAAACCAUAUUUUUGUUUUAUUAUAGACCCUAUAAGAUGGCCUUAAGCAAAAGUUACCGUAGGGAUAACAGCGUAAUUCUUUUUGAGAGAUCUUAUUGAGAAAAGAGUUUGCGACCUCGAUGUUUGGAUUAU
rnacentral:rRNA from 1 species